GACGAACGCUGGCGGUGUGCUUAACACAUGCAAGUCGAACGCUGAAGCUCAGCUUUUGUUGGGUGGAUGAGUGGCGAACGGGUGAGUAACACGUGAGUAACCUGCCUCCUUCUUUGGGAUAACGCCCGGAAACGGGUGCUAAUACUGGAUAUUCACUGGUCUUCGCAUGGGGGUUGGUGGAAAGGGUUUUUCUGGUGGGGGAUGGGCUCGCGGCCUAUCAGCUUGUUGGUGGGGUGAUGGGCUACCAAGGCUUUGACGGGUAGCCGGCCUGAGAGGGUGACCGGUCACAUUGGGACUGAGAUACGGCCCAGACUCCUACGGGAGGCAGCAGUGGGGAAUAUGGCACAAUGGGCGCAAGCCUGAUGCAGCGACGCCGCGUGAGGGAUGGAGGCCUUCGGGUUGUGAACCUCUUUCGCUCAUGGUCAAGCCGCAACAAUGGUUGUGGUGAGGGUAGUGGGUAAAGAAGCGCCGGCUAACUACGUG
rnacentral:rRNA from 1 species